UCCUUCUCAUGAGCUCCUCUUAGUCUUACCCAUGAUUGUGCACGGAUUCGCACGAGAAGCAGAGCCAAAGCACAGUUAGAACAGGCCUGCCCCGUCUUCAUGUGGGCGUCGCUUAUGUCUGCUGUGCAACAAGU
rnacentral:snoRNA from 1 species